rnacentral:tRNA from 1 species
GGUAAGGUGGCUUAGGGGUAGAGUGCUUGCCUUGAAUGCAUGAAGCCCUGGGUUCGAUUCCUCAGUACCA